rnacentral:rRNA from 1 species
UAUACCAGAAAGUCAAAUUAUAUUUAUUGGUUAAAAGGCAGUUAGAUAUAUAAUUUAAUUUUCAAAUUCAAUCAUAUAUAGGUAAAAUUUGCUUAUGAUUUAAUAUACUAAAAAAAAUUAGUUUAUUGAAGCUGCGAAAUCUUUGAAAUAAACUGGGAUUGGAUACCCCACUAUUCUUAGAUUUAAACUUAAUUUAAAUAUUUACCAGAGUACUAUGAACUAGGUUUAAAACUCAAAGAACUUGGCGGUGCUUUAUACCCCUUAGGGGAAUCUGUCUCGUAAUCGACAAUCCACGUGAUACCUCACCUUCUUUUGUAAUUCAGUUUGUAUACCGUUGUCGUCAGGUAACUCUUUAAGAUAAAUAAGUUAGCUACAAAGUUAUUAAACUUAUACGUCAAAUCAAGGUGCAAUUUAUAAGAAGGAGAAGAUGGAUUACAAUUAAUAAUUAUAAUACGGAUUUAUUAAAGUAAAUUACUAAUGAAGGAGGACUUAAAAGUAAAGUUUUAUAUAUAGAUUACUUGAAUCAGGCUCUUAAGCGCGC